GUGACAGCCGCCCUCUCUCUGUUACCCGCUGACCACUGGGCUUGGCAUUCUCUCCACUCACCUGCCCUAUCACCGCCUCCACCAUAUCUCUAUCCUCGCCUCACUCUCACCUCAAAGUCUUCGUAGCGAGAAUGAGGAUCAACGCCUUAGUGUCAAAGAAGAGGAAUGUAGGCUAACAAUUCCUGGCUGCUGGCUUGCAAGUAUCGGUUCCGGGUGCUGACUUUGGUUUGUUGGUUUUUGAUAGAGGCUGACAAAGUGACAAACCUUGACUUCAAGUGUAACUGACUAAACAGACAUAACUUACUUUAUUUCAGAGAUCUCGCUCAAGGAGAAGCUCCUUUUUACUCGCCACUCACUACAGUCCUGAUCCCAGACGUGAAGCAGCGACAAAAGCCGGCUCGUCAGGGAUAACAGAUGAGCGCAGAUGAACAGUGUCAGAUUUUGGCCCUGAUUGGCAUUCUGUGACCAAACCUCAAAAUCAUAUUGUGAGUAUU